CUCAGUGCCUCGUAGCGCUCGUGCUCCGUCAUGACGGUGAAACCCUUGUAUUUGUGGGUCAGCUCGUCACUGCACACUGUGUCAGAGGAGAACACACGUGUUGGGGAAGAGGUUCUUGGCCUGCAUGAGAGCACGAGCAUGUCCGGAGUGGAACAGGUCAAAGAUGCCAUCGGCGUAGACUCUGACGGGCCGGUCCACUGAGAACACAAAGCAGUACACGGACGCAGCCUCGUAUGAGAAUAAGAAAAGCAGAGAGAUGGGAGGACAAACUGUGAGCAGUGUAUUGAAGAGAAACAUAAAAGCCGUGCGGAUGAGAAAGAGAAGAGGUCAACCUGGGGUUCCUCUGCGAGCCUGAG